UAGACACAUUGCAUUGAACCACCACCCAACCAUGUAACAACUGUAAUUUUGAAUUCAAACAGGAGAUUUUGAGAAAGAGGUAGCUGAACUCUCUAAACAAGAACAGCAACAGGGCGAUGAGGACUCGGCAGAUGAUAUUGACAAUUCAGAGCUCUCUCAGUUUUGUGGCCUGACCUCAAAGCAUAACUAUACAUCGCUUAAUCUAAGUCUUUUGGAGGAAUAUAUUUUCAAGCAGGUAAAAUUGAGAGAGUUAGAACUUGAUGAACUUGCAAAAUCUUUGGAGCAUGCCCAAGAUGAGCGUGAAAAUCUAAACACACAGUUGGAAGGAUUGAAGAAUCAGAAGGUAAAGUUGGAAACUGAUCUUGCAAACCUGAAAGCCUAUGGAGCAACAUUGGAUGCACAACUGGACAGUUUAAAAAUGGUUCCAAUGCUCUUUCAGUUCCACAUUCAAAUAAUGGAUAAUGGAAAUUGCAUGCGCCAGAAACAGUUCCUAUCUCUGGAUACAAUCAUGAAGUAAAGCAGAAACACUCCAAAUUGCAACAACCUUUUGCUAAAAGUACUGUGUAUAUGAAGAAUAAAGAUGUUGAACGAUGAAGAAUGGAAAAAUUUUGAAGCAACAGCUCAGGUCAGAUGUGAAUGCUGAAUUUCACUGGGUUUCUAUCUGUUUAAAGAGAUUUUGUCUGUUGAAGUUAGCUUUUGUGAAUUAGAGUUAUCAGUGUUUUAUUUUAAUGCAACAAUUUUUGCAGAUCGCUAUGUUCUGACAUUACGCUGUAUUCUGUUAUGAAAGUAUGUAGCGAAUACAUUUUAUCAAUACAUACUAUGUCGACCAUGCGGCGCAGCUUAAACUUUGAAUGCUCAUUACUGAGAGUUGUUAAUCUGGGGUCUUCACAUGAUUAUCAUUGGCUGAACUGUGGUCAAUUUAAACACCAUAUGGGGCAAUUUUUUUAAAAUGCUUAAGUCCACUGGUGGAAGAUGUUUACCACAGUAAUGUAAAACCUAAGUAGAGUAAAAAUGAAUCUUGUCCCCAUCCUGGCAGCAGUUUUGUUAUCAAACAGAACACUACAAUUUCGUGGUUUAAACAAACACUCCUCCUGUGUUUUCUAUGUACUAAUUGACACAGCAUUCUUUUUACAGAAAAAUGAUAGAAAGAAAUGUCUUUUACAACACGUGAAUGAAAGUGGUCUCCAUUUGUGGUUUUUCUACAAAUUGUGAACUGUGGUUUGUUUUUUUAAUUUCAGUUAUCAGUAAUUAUGUACAAUACAAUACAUGUAAUGUACAAUAAUUAUGUACAUUAGUGGAAAAUUACUUUGUCUAGUUUUUGAAAUUGCAGAAAUGUAAUUUUCAUUGUAAUACUUGUUGUUUGCUGCCAGCUAUUCAAAACGUUAAAUUUUUUGUACACAAUGUACAUGUGUAUCAUACAUGGAUUUUAAUGUAAAUUGGCUACUAAUUUUUGAUGCAUCUCUUAUGCUGAAUUGCAAGAUUACUUCCAGUUUGUGAUGCACAUUAUAUUGAACAGGAUUGUUCUUGGUGCCAACACAGAAGGCAAAGUUUCCAGUAAAUAGCCAUUGUCUAAUACAUCAAUUAGUUGGUGCUAUAGUAGUGAGACUAAUGAAUUGCACUUUCAUAUAUGGGUCAGAUUGUAGAAUGUGUAUUUUUAAAUAAUGCUUAAGAAAACUAUGAAUCUGUUUUAUAGAUAUAAAAAAUAUGUUUUGGCAUUUUAAAUGUUUACUAAAUCAUUGAGAACACUGUUUUCUAUAUAGUAUUGCUACAUUUGAACAUUAAAGGACUGUAUAUUUAUUUUUAUUGUGAAAAUACUGUCAAAUACAAUAAAUUGCUUUUAAAGGUG